GAUGAACGCUGGCGGCGUGCCUAAUACAUGCAAGUCGAACGAGUUCUGAUUAUUGAAAGGUGCUUGCAUCUUGAUUUAAUUUUGAACGAGUGGCGGACGGGUGAGUAACACGUGGGUAACCUGCCCUUAAGUGGGGGAUAACAUUUGGAAACAGAUGCUAAUACCGCAUAAAUCCAAGAACCGCAUGGUUCUUGGCUGAAAGAUGGCGUAAGCUAUCGCUUUUGGAUGGACCCGCGGCGUAUUAGCUAGUUGGUGAGGUAACGGCUCACCAAGGCAAUGAUACGUAGCCGAACUGAGAGGUUGAUCGGCCACAUUGGGACUGAGACACGGCCCAAACUCCUACGGGAGGCAGCAGUAGGGAAUCUUCCACAAUGGACGCAAGUCUGAUGGAGCAACGCCGCGUGAGUGAAGAAGGCUUUCGGGUCGUAAAACUCUGUUGUUGGAGAAGAAUGGUCGGCAGAGUAACUGUUGUCGGCGUGACGGUAUCCAACCAGAAAGCCACGGCUAACUACGUGCCAGCAGCCGCGGUAAUACGUAGGUGGCAAGCGUUAUCCGGAUUUAUUGGGCGUAAAGCGAGCGCAGGCGGUUUUUUAAGUCUGAUGUGAAAGCCCUCGGCUUAACCGAGGAAGUGCAUCGGAAACUGGGAAACUUGAGUGCAGAAGAGGACAGUGGAACUCCAUGUGUAGCGGUGAAAUGCGUAGAUAUAUGGAAGAACACCAGUGGCGAAUGCGGCUGUCUGGUCUGUAACUGACGCUGAGGCUCGAAAGCAUGGGUAGCGAACAGG
rnacentral:rRNA from 2 species